GAACGGCAGCAUGAUCUAGCUUGCUAGAUUGAUGGCGAGUGGCGAACGGGUGAGUAAUACAUCGGAACGUGCCCUGUAGUGGGGGAUAACUAGUCGAAAGAUUAGCUAAUACCGCAUACGACCUGAGGGUGAAAGUGGGGGACCGCAAGGCCUCAUGCUAUAGGAGCGGCCGAUGUCUGAUUAGCUAGUUGGUGAGGUAAAGGCUCACCAAGGCGACGAUCAGUAGCUGGUCUGAGAGGACGAUCAGCCACACUGGGACUGAGACACGGCCCAGACUCCUACGGGAGGCAGCAGUGGGGAAUUUUGGACAAUGGGGGCAACCCUGAUCCAGCAAUGCCGCGUGUGUGAAGAAGGCCUUCGGGUUGUAAAGCACUUUUGUCCGGAAAGAAAUCGCACUUACUAAUAUUAGGUGUGGAUGACGGUACCGGAAGAAUAAGGACCGGCUAACUACGUGCCAGCAGCCGCGGUAAUACGUAGGGUCCAAGCGUUAAUCGGAAUUACUGGGCGUAAAGCGUGCGCAGGCGGUUGUGCAAGACCGAUGUGAAAUCCCCGGGCUUAACCUGGGAAUUGCAUUGGUGACUGCACGGCUAGAGUGUGUCAGAGGGGGGUAGAAUUCCACGUGUAGCAGUGAAAUGCGUAGAGAUGUGGAGGAAUACCGAUGGCGAAGCAGCCCCCUGGGAUACACUGACGCUCAUGCACGAAAGCGUGGGGAGCAANCAGGAUUAGAUACNCCUGGUAGUCCACGCCCUAAACGAUGUCAACUAGUUGUUGGGGAUUCAUUUCCUUAGUAACGUAGCUAACGCGUGAAGUUGACCGCCUGGGGAGUACGGUCGCAAGAUUAAAACUCAAAGGAAUUGACGGGGACCCGCACAAGCGGUGGAUGAUGUGGAUUAAUUCGAUGCAACGCGAAAAACCUUACCUACCCUUGACAUGCCACUAACGAAGCAGAGAUGCAUUAGGUGCUCGAAAGAGAAAGUGGACACAGGUGCUGCAUGGCUGUCGUCAGCUCGUGUCGUAAGAUGUUGGGUUAAGUCCCGCAACGAGCGCAACCCUUGUCUCUAGUUGCUACGAAAGGGCACUCUAGAGAGACUGCCGGUGACAAACCGGAGGAAGGUGGGGAUGACGUCAAGUCCUCAUGGCCCUUAUGGGUAGGGCUUCACACGUCAUACAAUGGUGCAUACAGAGGGUUGCCAAGCCGCGAGGUGGAGCUAAUCCCAGAAAAUGCAUCGUAGUCCGGAUCGUAGUCUGCAACUCGACUACGUGAAGCUGGAAUCGCUAGUAAUCGCGGAUCAGCAUGCCGCGGUGAAUACGUUCCCGGGUCUUGUACACACCGCCCGUCACACCAUGGGAGUGGGUUUUGCCAGAAGUAGUUAGCCUAACCGCAAGGGGGGCGAUUACCACGGCAGGGUUCAUGACUGGGGUGAAGUCGUAACAAGGUA
rnacentral:rRNA from 1 species